GAACUUUGACCUUUGCAACGGCACAUUCAGUGUCUCCCCUUUGAAAGGAGGGAUCGAGCAGAGCGUUCACUCACUCUGCACUCCCAUCGAAACCACAGGCUCCAGCUCUCUGUGCUAUCUGUGGCUAUAUAGCCUGCUCACAGGAUCUAGGUCCCGUGUCACUGGAAACUGCCAACAGAGAGAGGAAAGACAGAAGCAGCUGCUUAAAAGCCAAGCACGGGGUUUGGAAGUUGUCUCUAAGAUGGCAACAGGCUCUUGGGAUCAGACAAAUCAGCUCCUUUGGAGAAAAAAGCCUUCUGCUCAGACACGGCAGGGAUAAAAUACCGAGGAGGAACGUCAUAGCUCAGAGCGCAAGUGUGACUAUUUCCCCACCAGCCCAACCCACUGCUCAAGGAACCACGGGAGGCCUGACCCCGGUGCAAGGCCACAAGGAAAAGCUGGCAAAACAGCCUGCCAUCGGCAGAGCACAGGAAGCGGUUUGCUCUGUGGCUACACCACCCAUGUGUUACACAAUGUGAUACGACGGGGGAGAAGUGGCUUUCUUCCUCUUCCAAAUUAAAAUAGCCUUUCCUUAACGAAUUAA
ensembl:lincRNA Gm20619 predicted gene 20619